UACGGAGGGAGCUAGCGUUGUUCGGAAUUACUGGGCGUAAAGCGCGCGUAGGCGGCUUUGUAAGUUAGAGGUGAAAGCCCGGGGCUCAACCCCGGAAUUGCCUUUAAGACUGCAUCGCUUGAAUCCGGGAGAGGUGAGUGGAAUUCCGAGUGUAGAGGUGAAAUUCGUAGAUAUUCGGAAGAACACCAGUGGCGAAGGCGGCUUACUGGUCCGGAUCUGACGCUGAGGCGCGAAAGCGUGGGGAGCAAACAGG
rnacentral:rRNA from 1 species